rnacentral:tRNA from 1 species
GGGAAUGUAACUUAGUGGUACAGUGCUUGCCUAGCAUGCACAAGGGUCUGGGUUCAAUACCCAGCACCA